UCGAAACCUAGAAAGCAUGACCGUGAAUAUGUUUCAAUUACGGGGAAGCUUCGGGAAGCUCUUGAGCUGCUCGAUGCGACCUUGGUCGGAUGGUGGCGAACUUGAUUCGCUCACCAUCCACACUAACGAACCCCGGCGCGGCAAGCGCCAAGGAAUCAAAACGAAUGAACUUGCCCUCGGGCCGAUCUCGGACUCCGAGGGCAUGAGUCUCUUCAAAAUUAUCAUAACGACUCUCGGCAACGGAUAUCUCGGCUCUCGCAUCGAUGAAGAACGUAGCGAAAUGCGAUACUUGGUGUGAAUUGCAGAAUCCCGUGAAUCAUCGAGUCUUUGAACGCAAGUUGCGCCCGAAGCCUUUAGGCUGAGGGCACGUCUGCCUGGGCGUCAUGCACUGCGAUGCCCCCCAUCCAAGCAUGGGGAGCGGAUCAUGGCCUCCCGUGAGCCCAACUCGCGGAUGGCUUAAAAGCGAGCCUCGAGACGGCGAGCCGUCGCGACAAGUGGUGGUUAGAGGCGUUUGUCCUUAGAUCUUAGCAUGUUGCGCUCCCGCCCCUCGUUAGCUGAAAUGUAACCCUAAGGAGCGCUUUUGCGUUGCCAGCAUC
rnacentral:misc_RNA from 1 species